GACGAACGCUGGCGGCGUGCUUAACACAUGCAAGUCGAACGGUAAGGCCCUUCGGGGUACACGAGUGGCGAACGGGUGAGUAACACGUGGGUGAUCUGCCCUGCACUUCGGGAUAAGCCUGGGAAACUGGACCUAAUACCGGAUAGGACCACUGCCUGCAUGGGUGGUGGUGGAAAGCUUUUGCGGUGUGGGAUGGGCCCGCGGCCUAUCAGCUUGUUGGUGGGGUGAUGGCCUACCAAGGCGACGACGGGUAGCCGGCCUGGGAGGGUGACCGGCCACACUGGGACUGAGAUCCGGCCCAGGAUCCUACGGGAGGCAGCAGUGGGGAAUAUUGCACGAUGGGCGCAAGCCUGAUGCAGCGACGCCGCGUGAGGGAUGACGGCCUUCGGGUUGUAAACCUCUUUCAGCACCGACGAAGCGCAAGUGACGGUAGGUGCAGAAGAAGGACCGGCCAACUACGUGCCAGCCGCCGCGGUAA
rnacentral:rRNA from 1 species